GCCUGGCGAGAGCCGGUGCCGCGCCUGUCUGCCUUCUAAGCAGCCGGUCGAUGGUUCGAAUCCAUCAGGGGGCG
rnacentral:tRNA from 1 species